GGCCCGGUAGCGGACCAUGAUGGUCCGCACCCACUCCACAUAAUAGGAUUCCAUCCAGUCAGUGGGAGUCGCUCGUUCGACUCGAGCCCGGGCCA